GGGGAUGUAGAUCAGUUGCAGGGUGCUUGCCUGGCAUGCAUGAGGCCCUGGGUUCGAUCCCCAGCACCUCCU
rfam:Neotoma lepida isolate 417 scaffold_293, whole genome shotgun sequence.